UACGAAGGGGGCUAGCGUUGUUCGGAUUUACUGGGCGUAAAGCGCACGUAGGCGGAUCGAUCAGUCAGGGGUGAAAUCCCAGAGCUCAACUCUGGAACUGCCUUUGAUACUGUCGAUCUGGAGUAUGGAAGAGGUGAGUGGAAUUCCGAGUGUAGAGGUGAAAUUCGUAGAUAUUCGGAGGAGCACCAGUGGCGAAGGCGGCUCACUGGUCCAUUACUGACGCUGAGGUGCGAAAGCGUGGGGAGCAAACAGG
rnacentral:rRNA from 1 species